UACGAAGGGGGCUAGCGUUGCUCGGAAUGACUGGGCGUAAAGGGCGCGUAGGCGGCUUGUUUAGUCGGAUGUGAAAUUCCUGGGCUUAACCUGGGGGCUGCAUACGAGACGUAUGGGCUUGAGUGCGGAAGAGGGUCGUGGAAUUCCCAGUGUAGAGGUGAAAUUCGUAGAUAUUGGGAAGAACACCGGUGGCGAAGGCGGCGACCUGGUCCGUGACUGACGCUGAGGUGCGAAAGCGUGGGGAGCAAACAGG
rnacentral:rRNA from 1 species